AAACUCCGCAAUGGGCGAAAGCCUGACGGGGGAACCCCAAGUGCUCGUGCACUGCACGGGCUUUUCUGAAGUGUAAGGAACUUCAGGAAUAAGGGCUGGGCAAGACUGGUGCCAGCCGCCGCGGUAACACCAGCGGCUCUAGUGGUGUCCACGUUUAUUGGGUCUAAAGCGCCCGUAGCCGGUUUGGAAAGUCCUUGGUCAAAUCUGACGGCUCAACCGUCAGGCUGCCGGGGCUACUUCCAGACUUGGGACCGGGAGAGGUCAGAGGUACUUUCGGAGUAGGGGUGAAAUCCAGUGAUCCCGAAAGGACCACCAGUAGCGAAGGCGUCUGACUAGAACGGGUCCGACGGUGAGGGACGAAAGCCAGGGGCGCGAACCGG
rnacentral:rRNA from 1 species